GGAGAGCUCACGAAAGCGACGUUGCCCCUCCUCCAAGCUGACCAUGCGAUCGCCAGUCUGAUCUGUCUUAUUGCCCACCAGUAUGACGGCCAGCUGCUCACCUUGCUGGCGGAGCCCAGUUUGCGUCUACGCUUGUUGUAGUUGAUGAGGAACUUCAGCCGGCUGCACUCGUCAAAGGAGCAUUUAUCUGUAAUCGAGUAAACGAGUAUAAAUGCGUCGGCCCAGCGUAUAUUGGACUCCAGUGUAACGCCAUCUAGUUCCUGCAAGAGUUCAGUUAGAUUUCAUUAUGAAUCCUCUCAAGAUUCUCUCAAUCCAGCUCACGUGCAGCUGCCCGGUGGCAUCCAGUAUAUCAAACUGAACCGACUCUUUGUCCAGUGUUGUUUGGCAGGUAUAGAUUUUCUCCAAAUUCGGAUCAUAUUCGCCAAUAAAACGGCGUGUAAUAAAACGCACAACCAUAGCUGCAAAUUAAAGAGCAGCGAGCAGUGUGUUAGUCCUGGCCGUGUCUGGAGCAUUGUUUUUAAAUGACACCCACCCGUUUUACCAACGCCGCUCUGGCCGAGCACCAUGACCUUUAGCGUCUUUUGUUUGCUGGUAUGCAGGCCCAGUUUGACCAGCGAGGACUUGGGCGAGGUGGCAUUCAUGGCUGGGCCAGGAAAAAGCACGCACAGUACGUCAGCAAAAAGGCGUCCGGGAAUCGGCUUAGAGCGCCUUGGGCCUGAACUGUGACAAUGCCGUCUGCUCUAAAUGACUGGAAGAACCUUUUCAAUACCCUAAAAGCAGACUGAUGAGGAGUUUUAUUCAAUUAGACGUAAAGGUCGGUAAAGACAUAAAUACAAAGUUAAUAUUUCAAUUAGUUCCAAAAGGCAGAACCAUUAUGAGCACAGAUCCAUGGGAAAAUUCAUAAUUCUCUAAAGCUUUAGAUAUAGAAAUCGUAUUUGUAUUCAGAUCAGGUUAAAUAUAAAUUGACUUUAAUAUUAA